ensembl:processed_transcript Snhg1 small nucleolar RNA host gene 1
CACUCCGUGAAGGUGUGAAUUUAUAGCAUGUUAGAGUUCUGAUGGCAGUUAGUGCUGACAGACAGAUUGUAAUUCUGUCCUGAUGGUUGAAAAUAACUACUUGUUACUCUUCCACAGGUUUUCCUGGUGACAAAUCUCAGGCAUUCAAAGGUUCUGUUAGCAGUGCCAUACUUGUGGGUUUACAGAGAUGGUGUGUCUGGCUGAGAACAAAGGAGCCGUACCAGGAAAGUUGAAGCAUAUCUUCAUUUUCAAGUCCAGGCUAAAAUAAGGUCUGAGGAAAAGAAUGAGCUGCGUGUGAAGGAUAGGAACAGAAAUCAUGAAAGAUCUGUUUGUCCAGGCCAGUGUUUCACCAUAAGAGAUCACUUUAAAAUAAAUGAUGAAAUAAUUCUUUGCAAUUGCAAAUUUACCUUCCUUGCUUACCACAUUGUUAACUGUAGGAGCUGAUACCUGGUUCUUCCACUGUUAACUUGUACUCUGUGUUUGUUCUAGCAAUAAAUGCUCUUUAUGCUA